UACUGGCUUCGCUGAUUCCUCCUUUCUGAAGAACUGUAAUGCCAUUAAUUUGGUGUUGCAGGGGAACAGGACUGUUACUUUGAAAAAAUUAGAGUGUUUAAAGCAGGCUAACGCUUGAAUACAUUAGCAUGGAAUAAUGAAAUAGGACGUUCGAUCCUAUUUUGUUGGUUUCUAGGAUUGACGUAAUGAUUAAUAGGGAUAGUUGGGGGCAUUAGUAUUCAAUUGUCAGAGGUGAAAUUCUUGGAUUUAUUGAAGACUAACUACUGCGAAAGCAUUUGCCAAGGAUGUUUUCAUUAAUCAAGAACGAAAGUUAGGGGAUCGAAGACGAUCAGAUACCGUCGUAGUCUUAACCAUAAACUAUGCCGACUAGGGAUCGGAUGAUGUUAAUUUUUUAAUGACUCAUUCGGCGCCUUACG
rnacentral:rRNA from 1 species